GGAGAGAUGUCGGAGUGGUCGAACGAGCACGCUUGGAAAGCGUGUGACCGUGUCAAAGCGGUCCCUGGGUUCGAAUCCCAGUCUCUCCGCCA
rnacentral:tRNA from 1 species